UUUAUUUGUAUAUAUAUUUCUAGUUGAUCAUAUAAAUUCAUUUAAAGCAUAAAAGACAAGUUAAAAGAGCAACGGGCAUAUCAUGCGCUAAAGCGCAGCCCUUUAUUUUAAUUUUGUUUUGAAUUCAAAAUAUUUUUUAACACAAGCUUUUCUUCUUCCAAUCAAUGAUUUGAAGUUAUUUACAGCAAAGUUGAAUUUUUUUCAACACUAACUGAAGUUUGUAAAUAUUUCCCUUUUUAUGUCUGUAUAGUCUGUGCGUCUGUUCUUCCCACUUCAGGGUAAUGUUUUUGGUCAAGGUAGAUUUUAUGAAGUUGAAGACAAUCAACUUGAAACUUAGUACACAUAUUCCCUAUGAUAUGAUCUUUCUUAUUUCAAUUCCAAAUGAUAGUUUUGGCCUAAAUUUCACUGUUCACUAAGCAUAGAAAAUGGUAGUGCGGGUGGGGCAUCCAUGUAAUAUGUACACAUUCUUGUUUAUAAUAUUUUUAUUAUCAUAUUAAACACAAUUAUUACUUUACUAUGUACUUGUUUGGCAAUAUAACUAUUUUGAUCUGAGUGUCUGAACUAUUAACCAGUUAUAUUGCAUAUAAGUUUGAUAUGAUUUUUAUACGACCGCAAAAAUUUUAAUUUUUCGUCGUAUAUUGUUUGUUUUGAAUUCAUAUAGUGUACAAGAGUCAUUUUCAAAUUCAAAUGGCAUUUUCAUCCUGUCACAUCACUCAAAGGUUGUAAACUGUUGGCUUUUAUUUUAUCGUAAUUCUUUCAAAAGCGUUAGCAUAUUUAAUUAAUAUAUUAGAGCAUUUGAUUAUAUAAUAUAUAUAUAUAUAUGUGCAUAUCAUCAGUAAUAUAAGUUAUAAUUUUCUCUUUAAACCCUUUGUGUAAAUUCAAAUUCAACUUUACCUUUUUUUAUCCUUUCGUCAUGCUUGCUAUUAAAGUGAAUGGUUCUAACUUUUCCCUUGUUACUAAAACAUGAGCUUAUAAAGAUGCAUAGACUUCUGUAAAAUGAUUUGUAUACCUAUUUUUUCUGAUUAGAGAUUUUUGUCAGUGUACACACAUUGUAAAUAUUUUUUUACUGGUUUUUAUGUUUAAAAAGAGACUAUGGUGAGUUCUUUUUAAACUUGCUAAUUUUUAUUAAUAUGAAGCUGAUUGUGAUUUUGUAAGUAUCUUGUAU
rnacentral:lncRNA from 1 species